rnacentral:misc_RNA from 1 species
GAUGAAGAACGCAGCGAAAUGUGAUACGUAAUGUGAAUUGCAGAUUUCAGUGAAUCAUCGAAUCUUUGAACGCACAUUGCGCCCGCUAGUAUUCUGGCGGGCAUGCCUGUUCGAGCGUCAUUUCAACCAUCAAGCCCUAGGCUUGCGUUGGAGCCCUGCGGCUGCCGCAGGCUCCCAAAUCCAGUGGCGGGCUCGUCGUCGUACCGAGUGCAGUAAACAUCCUCGCUCAGGGAACGUGACGGGUUCUUGCCGUGAAACCCCCCACAUAUCAAGGUUGACCUCGGAUCAGGUAGGAAUACCCGCUGAACUUAAGCAUAUCAAUAAGCGGAGGA